AUAGAGUACCAUACCUGAGUUGCAGGAGAGGCCAUAGAACCCUGAGAAAAAGCUGCGAUUACAUCACAGAAUGUUUUCUCAUCACGUGUCGACACAAGAUGCUGAGACAAAAGACAUCAGAGGCAUACACCCGAGGAAACUGGUGAUAAUUCCUAAGAUCGGAAGUCUUGGUGAAAAUUCUUCGGGGUUACACAGAGGAGGAAGAUUCAGAGUUCUUUUUUGGGAUAAGCAGAGCUUUCUCAUAGAUCCUAUAAGAUGGCCACAGCCCAGGCCACUUCUUGAUUACAGCCCGUGAGAGACCCUGACGUGAAUGGAUGCAAUGAAGUCUUGCCCGGAUCCCUGGUCCACAGAAGCUGUGAGAUAAUAAACAGAUGCUGUUUUAAGUCGGUGGGGAUGCAGCGAGAAGGCGUCACCUGCAAGCCAGAACCACACCACACCAGCACCCUGAUCUGGGACUUCCAGCCUCCAGAACUGUGAGACG